CAACUUCCCGCGUUGCAAGAAAGGUCAAAUAAAAAAUUGAAUCAAGGCUUCAACACUUUCUUUCGUCUAACACUAUAUAUACUCAGUACAAACACUAAUUCUGCAUCACAAGCUGAGUCGCAUCUGAAAAUGAGGCUGAUUUCGUUCCUCUUUGUUCUGGUGGCGGUGGUGGCCGUGCUGGCCAGCCCAACCCCCGUUGCCGAUCCCCAGCGCGGUAUCCAUGGAAUAUUAGGAGGACAUAACUUUCACCACGGUUCACGUGGUUUCUUAAAUCAACAUCACCGUCAUGGUUCAGGUGGUUUUUUCAAUCAAGGUUUCCAAGGUCAUCCAAGCUUCUCCCCGCUUCCACCAUGGAACAUUUGGAACGCAAGGAGGACUUUCUUCAUUUGGUGGUCAACAGUUUGGGCAUCACCACCAUUUCUAAUCCUCGCCAUUUGGAAGCACAUUCUAAGGUCACUGAAGUACUUUUGAGAGGAUGAGAAGCUCGAUCCUCCCUCUCCUUUUCCUUGGGUGAAUUUUUAAUCUGCUUUAUAUCACGCCCUCGCUGCACUUCAUCACAGAUAUUUAAUUUCGUGAACUGAUAUAUCUCCAAAUCAUAAAUGAAAACUGUAAUAAAGUAUCUUCCACACU